GACAGAGGGUGCAAACGUUGUUCGGAAUUACUGGGCGUAAAGCGCGUGUAGGCGGCUGCGCAAGUCGGAUGUGAAAUCCCAUGGCUCAACCAUGGAAGUGCACCCGAAACUGCGUAGCUAGAGUCUCGGAGAGGAAGGCGGAAUGCUUGGUGUAGAGGUGAAAUUCGUAGAUAUCAAGCGGGAACACCGGUGGCGAAGGCGGCCUUCUGGACGAUGAUC
rnacentral:rRNA from 1 species